rnacentral:tRNA from 1 species
GCGGGAGUAGCUCAGUUGAUAGAGCGUAACUUUGCCAAGGUUGAGGUCAAGAGUUCGAGACUCGUCUUCCGCUCCA